GGGGAAUAUUAGUAAUGGGCGAAAGCCUGAACUAGCAACGCCGCGUGUGCGAAGAAGGCCUUCGGGUUGUAAAGCACUUUUUGAGAGGAUGAGGAAGGACGGUACUCUCAGAAUAAGUCUCGGCUAACUACGUGCCAGCAGCCGCGGUAACACGUAGGAGGCAAACGUUAUCCGGAUUUACUGGGCGUAAAGCGCGUGUAGGUGGUUUGGUAAGUAGGGCGUGAAAGCUCCUGGCUCAACUGGGAGAGGACGUUCUAAACUGCCAAGCUUGAGGAUGGUAGAGGGAGGUGGAAUUCCGGGUGUAGCGGUGGAAUGCGCAGAUAUCCGGAGGAACACCAGUGGCGAAGGCGGCCUCCUGGACCACUCCUGACACUCAGACGCGAAAGCUAGGGUAGCAAACGG
rnacentral:rRNA from 1 species